GGCGGCGCGCAGGACGCGCUGCUCCAGGGCCGCAUCGCCUGGCCGGGCUGCCAUGGGGGAUCGGUCAGACCGAGCCAAGGAGACCCCCCCGAGCAGACUUCGGGCUAAAAAUGGACAAUUCCUUCGUGGAAGAAGUGGCUGCAUCUCUGGUGAGGGAAUUUCUCAGUAGAAAGGGUCUGAAGAAAACCAUCAGCACCAUGGACCGGGAGCUCCCACGUUCUGCACUUAGCAUCAAUAACAGGAAUGAGCUUCGAAAUGUCCUGCAUUUGCACUCCCUGUAUAAACAGAACAAGGCCAAGGAGAACCCUCUGAAAACACUCCUUGAAAUCAUUACUAAUUAUUUCCUUGAGCACCGUGUGACCUCCAGGAGCAUCAGUUCAAGUUCUGCUCUGUCAGCUUCUCAAAGUAAGAGCUCAGCAUCCCAUCCACCUGACCUCUCAGAUGAAGACCGUGCAUGUGGGAAUGCCAGCCUGCCUCAUGACAGCAAAACUCAAGCCUCCAGACACGAUGUUGAGAAUCCACCUGAUAAAUUCCUCCAAUCCAGAAAACAUCAACACAAAAGUGAAAAAUGCCACGCAGGGACAAUAUGCAACACCCUCUUAACCUCUGAUGGGGAUAAGAAGUUAAAGGAUAGUCAAGAGGAUUUAAAAUCAGCAGUGAUUUCAGAAGAGCUGCAAGCCAUGGUGAAGGACAAGCAGAGGCCCAGGUCUGGUCUCAUUGUCAGAGGCAUAAUGGCUGGACCAGGAGCAAGUUCUCCAGAGGAUCUGCAUAAAAGGAAGUCAAAACGCUCCACCAGCAUCAGUACCACAGCACCACUCAAGGGUGAAAAACAUGAUGGAAAUGACCUGAGUGCCCCAAAAGUCGAUUCCCAAGAAAAUAGAGGAUCUUCAGCACAAGUAAACCCAGAGAUUGCCUCAAGGACUUUGUCAAGUUCACACGUGAGUUCAGCUUCCGAAAAACUAAGGACCAUCUCCAAAGAUACGUGUGAUUCUUUUAUCAAACUGCUGUCUGAAAGAGGGAGGUCCAAGAUGGAGGAAAGAAAAACAGUGCCAAGCUUUUGUGCAGACAGCGGUGAGAAAAGCCUUAAAGUCAGCGCCCCGCACAGACAUUCAGGGACUGGAAGAGAGAAGAGAGAAAGGGCCCUCAAGAAAAGUGAGAGCUGGUUAUCAGGCCACAGGAAGUCUCCGACAUCCACUUGGAAUAAAGAAGACCAGAUGAAAGAUACCCUAGAAUUAGUUGAUGUUGAGGAUGAAGCAACAACUGGAGAAAUCAGUAGGAACCUGAAUCUUUCAACGCUGCAUAUGCUUCAAGAAGCAUCAAAGGCAAUUGAUAUUUCUCUUGCAAAAGAAUUAAAAAAUCUUCUGUUUGGCUCCAGUCUUUGUUGCUUCAGCGAAGAAUGGAAAAUACAGAGUUUUACAUUUAAUAACAUUCCUCAGUUAAAAUAUGGCAUUGUACAAAAAAAGGGUGGCCCAUGUGGAGUGCUGGCAGCAGUUCAAGCUUGUGUUCUACAGCAGCUUAUCUUUGGAGACAAUAACAGGAAUAAGGAUGCUCGCUGUCUCCAGCCCUCAGAAGCUCACAGGACCAAGUGCCUCACCAUGGCUAUUGCAGACAUCCUGUGGCGUGCAGGAGGCAAUGAAAAAGCAGUUGUGGCACUGCCAUCAGGAAGACAGCAGUUCACUCCCAUAGGAAAAUACAAGGCAGAUGGAAUCUUAGAAACUCUAAUCCUGCAUAGUGCCACGAGAUAUGAAGAUCUGAUUGUACUUCUUCAGCAGAAUAUUCACCAGUUUGAAAUUGGUCCCUGUGGGUGCAUCCUUCUGACCGUGUCCGUCAUCUUAUCGAGAUCUAUCAAUCUGGUGCGCAAUGAUUUCGACGUCCUCACGAACCGGCUGAUCGGCAGCCACGGCUACUGCACUCAGGAAUUAGUGAACUUGCUGUUGACUGGCAAAGCUGUGUCCAACGUUUUCAACGAUGUGAUAGAGCUGAAUUCUGGAAAUGGAAAUAUCACCAUUCUGAAAGGCAUCACAAGCCGCAGUGACAUUGGUUUGCUGUCUCUCUUUGAGCACUACGACGUCUGCCAGGUCGGUUGUUACCUGAAGACUCCUAAAUACCCAAUUUGGCUGGUAUGCAGUGAAAGCCACUUCAGUGUGCUUUUUUGUCUGGAAAAGGAUUUACAAGGCGACUGGAAAACCGAGCGGAAGUUUGAUCUCUAUUAUUAUGAUGGCUUGGCCAACCAAGAAGAAGAAAUACGAUUAACCGUUGAGGGGUCAGAUUCUACUGAAAACGUCGAUCUUGUGGUGACAGAAAAAGGUCUUACAGCAAGUCCUGAAGUUUCAGAGAGUUCUGCGCCCAAUCUGCUCAAUGGGCAAGUGCUGUUAUGAACUCAGAUGUUCUUAUUUGGGUUUGAAACUCAUGUUCUGGAAAUCAGCCUGCAACGAGCACUGGUUUAAGAACAAAACAAAACUUUCUGGAAGUUACUUCUAAGAGCUGCAGAACCAGCAGAGAAUGGUUGGGAGUGCACAACAAUCUUUGCUGGAAGAGUGGUGGUGGAAAAGAUAUGUGCUAUGUGGCCCAACAGAGCUCCAGCAAAGAGUGCUACGGACAAGACUUCAGCCAGACUGCCUCUGUCAAAACUCUUUCCCAACCAUUCAGCAACUAUGUGCUUUUCUGCCAAGGUGCACAAAGUACUUCAUUAUAAAUACAUGCCUUAUCUAUUGGCAAAGCAAUUGGAAACGUAGGUGGAGUUAUGGCACUGUGUCCCACAAGUCAGAAGGGUCCAAACCCCCAGAAGAGGUGAGGCUGAAGUUAUGUGGAUGCCCUUUCUUAUUCCUUCUACUUGGAAACCAACCUCCUCAGCCUCUCUUGGCCCUUCUCCCUUUGGGACACACCUCCAGCUACGACUGUCCCGUAAUAUAAUCUUCCUUUCUGGUUAAUUGCCUCAUGCUACAUAACAGCGUUUUAUCAAAACGUGUUUCUAAUUAAGCUGUUCUGGAUAUGAUCCCACCUUAGAGAAAAAGUGCAACUGACUGGAGUGGGAGGAGGAUCAAUGUUUCUCGUGUUCUUCUCAGUUAAGAAUGUACCAAGAUCUUGUGAAGCAGAACCAAAGAAACUGAUUUGUCUCUGACAGUCUGCCUCUCCUGAGUCUCCAAGAGGCUGUUCAGCUCUUUAAGAGCACCUUACAAAAUAUUGUUCUUGGAGACAAAAGAAGGCACAAACAUGAUUAGCCGCAGAUGAGCAAUUUCUUCUAAAAAGGCAGGAAAUUACAAUCAAGAUUUGGAAAUAUAUAUUUUUUGCUGCAUUGCACCAGCAGCUCCUUCUCACUGCCCUUAGGAAGGAUUACGUGUGGUGUUGCUUUCACAGUUGUGUUUCAAAGAUGCCAACUGAACACACCAUAACCAAUCCAAGCAACACAUACUAUGGCUCUGUCGAGGGAGUCGUGUUCUUUAGCAGCAUUUUCCUCUCAAGCACUGGUGCAACGUGAUGGAAAAUCAGCAGAGAAUGGCUGGGCGUGCACAGGACUGACUGCUGGAGGAAUGGUUGUGUAGGGACUGCAUGCUGCCUUCAGGUCUCUUAAGAGUAGCAUGGAACUUCUCAUUCUUUAAUGGUAACUUAGCAAAGUUCAUAGCCAUACAUUGAUAGCCAUCAAUUCAUACAUUGAUCCUAGUCAUCUUCAUGUUGAUACUAUUACCAUACAAGUGGAGAACUGUGGCACAGAAAAGCUGUGGUGACUUGGUUGAAGUCACAGAGGAAGCCUAGACUGAGCAAAGGGAAAAGCUGAACUCCAGCACUGUAAAUUCUGCAUCAGCUUUUCUCUAAAGGCUUUAUGACCUGGUCCUGUGGUAGCAUUGAAUAUGAACAGAUUUUCUUUGGUUUUGCCCCUUUGCCACAUGACCAAAGGUACGUCUUCCUAAAAAAAUGUAUGACUUGUUCCAUGCUGCAGUUGCCCACCCAGUGGAAUAAUUGUAACUAAAUUUAUCAGCCUUUUAAGUUGCUUUUAAAUUGCUUUUAGCUUGCGAUGUUUCCUUAUCUUGGACAAGAGAAAGGAAAAAGGAAGGAGGCUAUUUCUACCAUCUCUUUCCUCCUUCAAGAAAACCCCCUCCCCCUUCCCCUCUCCUUGCCCUCCAAAGCUUUUGUUAAUUUAAAAUUAGCCCUUUUGAGAUGGUCUUGGGAAAAUCAGGCAAGCAAGUCCCAGUGGAGAGGGCUGCUGCAGUAAACACGGGGCAGAAGCUCGGUGAGUCACCUGGCCAGCGUUCCUCCUCUGCGUGAGGGACAGCAGCGUAGGAAGCCCAUAAAGAAACAUGCCACCACCACUGGGGAAUCCUUCGACGAAAUCAUUUCCCAUCUUAUCUGGGCCUCCUACCAGCUAUUCACUGCAAGCGUCAGUCCAAAGAAGUAAUCAGAGGGCACUAGAUGCCUGGCUCUGAUCUCACUGCCAUUGUUUGGCCAAAGGAAGGAUUCAGAACAAGGCUCAGGGCCAAAAAGUAAGUCCUGAAAUGCCAUUUUUUUUGUUUUCUUUUUGUUUUCUUUUUGUUUUCUUUUUAAUAUAUAUAUAUAUACAGGUCAUCUUGUCCCCUCCUCCCCCUUUCUUUUUUUAUUAAAUAAAUUUCCCUUACAGCUAAUUCUUAGUGACACCCACUGGCAAAAGCUCAACUGUAAUAAAUUGGUGGUAGCUCUGGUUUGCUUGUAGAGUGGUCACUCACUUGCAAUACAUAGAAUGGCUUGGGUUGGAAAAGACCUUAGAGAUCAUCAAGUUCCCACCCCUGCAGUGGGCUGGCUGCCCCCACCAGCUCAGGUUGCCCAGGGCCCAGCAGACAGGCAGUUCUUUGUCAGCUUUCUGAUGGAGCACAGAAAGCACGUAGGAUGUUUUAUCCAAACCACCUGCAGUGCUUUUUUUUUUUUCACAAUAGCUGUGUGAAGCAGGAAGAAAGAAAUAUACAGACAAGAACCUUCUUGGCAUCUUUGCUAUCUGUUUUGUUGGUGCGCAGUGGAACACCUGGAUGGAGGGUUUGUUUUGCAGGAGGAGGAGGAUGACAAAUGAGAACAGCCUGCUGCAGGGGUUCUGUGAGGUGGGAGGUUUGUAUAAGCUUCUGACUUGUUCUCCUUGGGGACAGAGGGAGAGGAGAAUGCCCCCAUGAACAGGGAGGUCAGAUAUGUCUGCCAGGUGGUGUUAUGUGGCAGCUUGGAAGGUAAACAUUUCUCCUAUUCUCUUUUUUCAUAGAAUGGUUUGAGCUGGAAGGGACCCUUAAAGGCUGUGUGGUCCCACUCUCUGCAGUGCACAGGGACACCCACAGCUCCAUCAGUGCUCAGAGCCCAUCCCCUGACCGUGGGUGUCUGCAGGGAUGGGGCACCACCACCUCUUUUGGCAGCCUGUGCAGUGCCUCACCACCCUCAUUGCUAACAUUUUUUUCCAUAUAUCCAGUCUAAAUCUCCCCCUCUUUCCCUCUCUCUGUGGAUCAAGCAUCAGAUUUUAGAAAUCCCAAACCUCACCUUUCUAAUGCUACAGUCAUGUUUUUCUUUAGUUCUUACCAUGAAAUUCCAAUUGUCAGAACACCAGAAUCGUAGAAUCACUGAAUAGUUGGGUUGGAAGGGACCUCAAAGAUCAUCCAGUUCCAACCCCUGCCAUGGCUGUAUGGGAACAAACAGCUUCCUCACAUUCAUAAAGCCCUCUUUGCAACAGAUAAUUUGAAACUGAACUUGAAAGCAGUGUUGUGAUCUGUAAAUGUGGCACAUGUGGGGUCAUGGCAGUCAUUUGCACAAAGCACACCUGGAGCUUGUUUCAGGCUGUGGAGGAAAUAGAUGCAUGUUUUUUUGCCUCCUCACAAAGAGAAAGCUUUUCUUGAGCUAAGGUUGGAUAUUUGCUCCAUGUUCAGUUUUUUCAUGGUCUGGGCACAGAUACCACAAAGGAAAAAAUAUAUAAAAUCAAUGAUGUUGGAUAUAAAUGAGAUCAGUGGCACAGGACAUGCACAUCGUUUAUCAUUGUUUUCUUUCAUCUUACUGUUUCAUAGGCUUCUUUUAUAUUUUCAUUUUUAAAACACCCAUCAUUGAAUCCUAGAAUCAUUAAGUUUGGAAAAGGCCUCUAAGAUCAUCAGGUUUAUUUGCAGAAACAAAAACAAUUAGAAAAAAAAAAAAGAACACUCCCAGAGCAAUAAAACAAAAAGAGCAGAUGGCACCUGACAAAAUUGUACUGAUACUUCUUUUUUCAAAUCAUUUUACCAAAAUGAGUAAGUAAUGGUCUUUAGAACUGGAGCAGAUACGUACGCAGCCAGGAUGGCAUUUUCUGCUAUUUAAAAAUAUUACUUGAUUUUUAGAGAGUAACACGAACAACUUAGAAAAGCAAUCAAAUCUGAGGAAGUGUUAUAAAUUAAUAAAAGCAUGCCUGAAAUUAGAGAACACUGAAGAAGGAAAAGGAAGUGAAUCAUGGCCAUGAAGUAACGAAAUAGGUGAAUGAACACAGAAACCCAAAGGAUUCUGAAGCCUGGACCUCACAGCCAUGAGGAUGUCGUAAUGUUUCACUCCUGCUUGGCUUCAGAGACCUUUAUAUUCUUCUGUACUUACCUGAAUAACAAAGGAUUUGGAUGUGGGCAGAGUAAAGGAGUGUGGGAUUCAGCAGAGUGUGUCUCAAUGACACCAUCUUUGCUUUGUUGUAGGGGAAAGUCAAGCCCAGAAUACAUCCUCCCCCAGCUGGUUUCACAUUUUGCUUAGGGUGCAGUUUCCAUAUUUUUUUUCAUUUCAGAAUGCCAAUACAGACCAGCAGAUAAUAUUUUUUCCUUGAAGGCUGUAGGAAGCUGUGUUUUGGACCCUGCGUUUGGUAAUUUAAUGUGAUGAUUGUUCUGGUUUUGAGAUUUUGAGCAAAGAAUAGGCAGACUGCUGUUGUCAUCUAGAUAAGAAAGACUAAAUUAUGACCCAUGAUUGGAUUCCCCAUGGCAUCACUAAAUCUUACUAACAGUCCUUGGGCAUUUUUACGGUUGUUUUGAACCACUGGUCUCUGGCCCUAGCACAACUGCUGUUUAGUGUUCUCACUGUAAGCACUUUCCUCAGGUUAUCCUCUUGCUUUUGGGAAAGAGAAUGGUCAUGCUUGGGUCUUGGCAGCCAUGUCGGUAGAUGUGUUGAGCUCUCAGACAUCUUUCUUGCUCCUGCCCCACUGGUUUGUAUUCCUUGGAAGAUCUUUCAGGCUGCAGGAGCACUGGAUGUGUGACAGUUCAAUGAACUAUGAGCCACCCACUUAGAUUGCCUUGAGUACGCAGUGAAAUGUAUUCAGGAACACAUCUUUAACAAUUUCAUUGCAGUGUUUUUCUAAGGAGAGCAGAGUUUAACCAGCCUUUAGAGGAUAAUACCUUAUCCAGCAACGUCCAGCAACAGCUUGGUUCUGAAGUUAAGUAAACACAGGUGCAUGCUGGAAGCUAGUUGCAAUGGUACAUGAUCUUGGGAUCAUACCAAAAACAUGGAGGCAAAAGGAACUCAGUACUUCAGAGAGACCCAAGAUACACCAUCUUCAUGCAUGUGUCUAACGUUAUCAAUAAUGUGCUGUGAACGUGGUGCUAAAGUGAACCAACAGGUGCCACUUUCAUUUUCUAUGUUUUGGGAUUGCUCAGGACACUUUUCCAUAUGUAUGAAAGAGGGGGAAAAAAAAGACCAGCACAAUCCUAGAAACAUCAUGACAACUGUUGGGAAAAAAUCAGAUGGGACAUGAAAUGCAACCCUUGAGAUAAAAACAAUAGUGAUUCAAUAGUGAUUUCUUUAUUUUUCGAGAAUUAUUAUGGAUGCUCAACCAAACAGAAGAAACCUCAGCAGCGGCUUUUGGAAUGAAAUAAUGAAUUCUGUUAAUGAAGCAUGUUUGACCUUUUCCUGUCUUUUUUUCUGUUUUGUGCUCGGGGAUCAUUUUUAAAUACUUUAAAUUGUUUCCUUGACUGAAGACAAGAUUAAUUAAGUUUUCCUUGGCUACAACUGGGCAUGCCCAGAAUCUGCGGGAUGAAUAUUAGCUAAAAGUGUCUAUGGGAGGUAUGUAGGCUAGCAGUGCAUGCAACUGACAAAGCACGUGGUGGAUGCCUCUAUAUUGUACUAAUGACUUGAAAAAUACUAAGCAGAAGGGGAAUCAUCUUCUGUUGAUGCUUUUAAACUUUUCUCUGCAAACUCAUUUCUGAAAAAAUGAUAUAAAAUGAUAUUACCAUAUGAAUUCCAGAAUGGAAGAGUAGCAAGUUGCUGGAACUUGAUGAUCCUUGGGGUCCCUUCCAACCCAAGCCAUUCUAUGAUUCUAUGAUUCUAAUUUGCAAGGAUAUGUGGAUUUCAAAGUUAAAAAAAACAAUCCUCUUUUAACCAUGUGGCUUCCAGGCUUGCCUAACACAAAACAGAAUAUUUAAGCUGGUAAGUCCUCUGGUGAGUUUAAUAACAUCUGGUUGAGAUAAACCAAAGGUUUCUUAACUGAGUUUCAAAAGCAGCGUUUACAUCUCAGCCUUCCUGUCUUACUCUGUACGUUACAAUAUGAAAUGUUCCUGUUUCAUCUGAGGAAUAAGGGAAGGAAUGUUCAGGGAUGUCUCAGGCAUGGAAGCCCCUCAAUUUCAUCAAACACUUAAGACAUUGAUCUCAAACUGGAGCCACAUGAAGAGUUUUACCGUAUGUUUAUCAAAGGAUUUCUCCCUACGACCACGCAUAUGAGGAGGUGGAUAAGGAAGAUCUCUGAAGCUUUUUGAACUUGCCCAGGGUGCUCAUUUCUCAGUCCUUGGAAAACCCAGUGCGUGGUGAGAGUAUCAGCCUGGCUUGCAGAGUAGGAACAGUUUGUUCUGAGCUGUUCAACAAGCUGCUCCCUGUUUGCUUCUGGUUAUCAGCACACCGGCUUUGGUUUUCCUACACUCAAAAUCAAUCAUUUUGCAGACCAGCAGGCUGGCUUCAGUGGUUUGCUGUGGUUGGUUUUUUUGUUGGUUUUUUUUUUUUUUUGUUUCAGAGGGUGGAUUUAUUUUGGAGGCCAAGGGAAGAGUUGCCAAGCAGCUGCCAGAGCUGAUGGAUAGAAGGCAAUUGCAGGAACGUCCAGAAAUGUUCCAUUGUUCUUUAGUUGUUUAAACAAAUGCAUACAGGAUGAACUCCAGGUUGCAUUGGGUGUGGUUGUUGGCCAAAAGGGGGGAGUUUGUGAAUGUUUAUGCCUUUUUUUUUUUUUUUAAAGUAAUUGGGUUUUAUUUCCUGUGUUUCUGUAUUACUGAUGGUUGGAAAAUACUAUGAUUCCUCUACUUUUCUGUUGUUGAUGAAAUGAAUGAUUCCAAUUCAGAAAUUAUUUUGAGAAAGGGUUUGCAUCAAAUUCACACUACUCUGCAUAAAUUGCUUCCUUCUCUGAUAGUGAUGGAGUAAAUCAGCAAAGCAAAGGCUGCUGCUGCCACCAGACAGGAACUGCACCUGUAGUGAUGUCUUCCAUAUUUGGAGAUAAAACAAACUGACAAAGAAGGAUGUAACUUAAACACUUCUUAUAGAUAUUAGCAUUUUCCAGUCACAGCCUAUGGGAUGAAUAGGUUUCAUACCAGACUGCUUUCUGGAACAAAUGCCCUUUCCAGUUGGAAUGCUGAAUAGGAGACAAAGUGGAAGGAAAUGGGGUAAACAUGGAUUUUUUUCCCCCAUAUCUCAUAGAGAUUUUUUUCCUCUGUUGGGCCUUGGGAAUUAGUUAUUUCAUUAAUAUUCAUUUACAGAAAGAAGAAAAGUAAUGACAACAAAGGGUCACCAGAAUACCAGGUAUCUAAACCUUUACACAGCCUUUACACAGACUAAUGGAAUGCUAUCAGUAGUAGCAUUAGCACUGGCAGAUUAAAGGAUGUCUGGUUUAUAUAGUAUUGCGUACCAUGUAGUACCAUGGUACCAUAGUACCAUGUAGAACAAUUUCAGCUAGCUUGAGAGUUUUCUAAAUAGGACAGUAUUGUCCUAUGCAAGGUAACUAAUUCCCUGUUAUCUUAAAUGGUAUUUGCAGGCUUUCUGAUGUGGUUCUGGUGUUACUGAGGAAUGCAAUGACUCCACAUUCUGCAAUAUCGAAUAUUAUUUGUCACUGUGACCUUUUGAGAGGUGCUUCCCCCACUCCUCUCCUCCCUCUGGGUUAAUAUGUAGAAAGAGAUUAAAAAAAUCAGAGGAAGUAACAGUGAUUAUGAAAAAUGAUGUUCUUUGAAAUACCAUGUUAGAGAGAUUGUAGAGAGAUAGAGAGUUAGAGACAGGAAUCCCUUCUCAGCUUCUGAUUUUGUGAUUCUGACCCUGCUUGCUGUCUUGCACUGUCUUGUUCUGAAUAUAUUUGGGUUACAUUAAGUGGGUGCAAAAGUACAGUAUGAAUAAAGUAGAAUCAAGCCUGGCCAUAGGAAAAAUGCUUCUUUGAUUGUCUUGCUUUUCUGCCCUCACUUUCACAGAAUAUGUACAUCUUUUUGUAUACUGCACAAUACAGGGGAAGAGAAUUACUGCUUCCAGAGUUCUGGGUUGGAAAUUUUUGUCUUCUAUCAGUAUUGGAACAUACUGCCAAUGUUUCAAAUGUUCCUUAGAGUUAUGUCACCUGGAAUAUAAUUUUCUUGAUGGAAAAGCUUUUUUUCCAGCUCUUUGGCUAAGAACCUCAAAAUCUCUGGGAUCUCAGGAAAGAUGCUUGUAGCAGAGACACAGUGGGAAGAGAGAAAUUCAUAUCACUGAACUUUGAGCACCUAAGUUUGACCAAUCUAGGCUAGAUGACCAAGUUACCAAUCAAGACUCCACGUCAGCGGAGAGGGCUGAGUGUUGGGAGCCAGCCCCUGGAGGAGAUUCUGUCUUCACAGAUGGUCUAGGAGGAAAAUCACCCAGCCAAAGUACCCUUUUUCUAUCACAGUUGCUCCUUAGGGCCUGUGGUUCAGAGAUUUCCAGCCUGGCACAGCCAAAUCCUGAGGACCAGAUAUGCGCAGAUGAGAACUUCCCAGAGAGGACAGUUCAUCUUGCUGUGGCAUUCAGUUGGACCCAUUCUCACUACAUGAAGCACCUCAUGGAGCCCAGGAGGUGGGGGAGUCGCCAUCCUUGGAGGUUUUUGAAAAAAGAGUAGAUGUGGCACUGAGGGAUGUGGGUUAGUGGGCACAAUGGUGAUGGUUCAACAGUUGGACUAGGUGAUAUUGGUUGUCUUUUCCAGCCUUAGAGAUUCCAUGAUUCUAUGAUUCUGUGAUUCUCUGAUCAGGGACUUGUUGCUCAGAAAUGUACUUGGGGCAGUUUUUGUCCCACAGUGCAGGAAUAGAGGGAAUCAGGAAGGCCUGAUGAAAGAUCUUUCACACGAGCCAAGGAUAUUGCUUCUUACAGAAACUGAGCAAAUAAAUGUCAUGCCUCUGUGAAUCCAUGGAGUAAAUCCAUGUGGUUGACAUAUAGGGGCUAGUUAUAAAUGUUGUGGUACUGUGACAAGAUCUUUUUCUAUUCUGAAACCAGAUUAUUUGGUUGUACAGAGUGAAGAAAGUUUUAGUAAGCAAAAACUUUAUAUUCUCUGGCUUUGUGUAGUUCAUUUGGGCCAGUGCUGAUGUCCAAAGAGCCCUGAUACUUCCCCUUUCCUACAACCUCUGGCAAAAAUGUUAUGUCUCUCAAAUAACUUGUCUGUCUUUAGCUAUCCAGUAGGAGUGGCUUCCUUUGAGAUUUAUCCCCCUCCACAUCUGCAUCAAUGACCAUUGCAGUCCCAUCUGGUCCAACUUCUGGUGAAGCCAGCAGGAUCCAUUCUGUCUGUGGUCUUCAGCGGUCAGAUUUGAUUAGCCUCUGAAGGAUAAAAGGCAAACAUGACUAAAAACACUGAGCUCCCACACCAUUAGCAACACACUGUGAGCAUCAGGAAAGCAUUUAUUUCACAUUAAGGAUAAAACUGUCAGAGAGGCCAGAGUCAUUAAAUCUGACAGGAUGAUAACAGCUAGAAAUGAUUUGGAGAAGCUUGUCAGGGAAAUCCCAAGACUGAAAUAUGAAUUAUGUGAAAACUGUGCCUAGCUUGUGAUAAAUUAAUGCUCAGAAAUACACCAUAUGCGCAGUUUCCUCAGACUAAUAAGUCCUGAAGCAAUUCCAUACAAAAAUACAACUCUUCUACCAGGACAUCUUUUUUGUCCAAUGUCCAUCCCAGUCUUGGAAUGUUUUGAAAAUGCACAGAAAAGUCCUGGAACAACAUCAGAAGUGAUUCAUAAGCAAAACCCAUAUGCAAUGGGUAGACGAGCUUGUUUGUUGAGCAAACUUGCUGCACUUGGCUAGCUGGAUGCAAACCAGAACCUGGAGAUUGGUGGGUCAACAGAGAUGCACUGGAAAGAAGGCUUGGAAAAAUGUUAUUCCUCUACCUCAUCAGUUGUGACUGUUUUCAUUCUUUUUUUUUUUUUUUUUUUUUUUUUGCCUUGAAUUUUCCUCAUUAACGAAUGAUGUCUUUGUUAAUGACAGGCAUAGCUCUUUAUGGCAGAUCAGUAUGGAAAGCACAGCUAAAUGUUACGCAGUAUUAAUCACUUCCAGUCUUGGAUCUGCCGUGUAUGCUGGUAACAAGUCAUUUAGCCUGACCUGAUCUGGAAAACUGCAUGGACUGAUAGAGCAACUCCCCAAACAUUUUCUCACUGUUGAUUGAUUACAAAGUAAUGGAAAGUAUUGUCAAAAUCCGUGUAGCUUGUUUAGACCCCAGAGACCUACAUAGAAUCAGAAGCUGUGGAGACAGAAAAGGACUAUUAAAUGGUCCAGUUCCUUGCCAGCAGGGGAUUUCUCUCUAGUGUGCACUUCAGUCAUAAGGUUUUGAGAAAGCCUAUGUACAGUAUUUCAGAAAAUAACACACUUAACACUUCCUCAGGGGAGCUAUUAUACAAUAGGUUCUCUUGUGGGUAAAGUUUCCCCUCCACCUCAAUGAUUUAUCAUAGAUUUUCUCUUCCCAAGUCUAUAUAUAACUCCAUACACACACAUAUAUACAUUUUCCUAAUUCUGUUGCUGUUUUUUUUUCUUUUUUCCUUUUUUUCUCUUAAGUUGGUACUUAUUUGUUUAUUUUUUCCACUGCAAAUCUACAUUUCAGUGGCAGUAUUAAUGGAAAAUGCCCAGAAAUAGAAAUGAAAUACUGUAUUCCACUUUCUAAAGUUAAGUAAUAGAAAACUCUCAGCAAACUACAAAUAACUUCUAGAAAAUUAUGGCAGUAGCAGCAAAGGGGGUCUAAAACAACCUGAAUGCUAAUGGCACAAAUUAUACUACAUUUGUACAACACAGAUAGCAAUUGGCUUCAUAUUCCUCACAGAUUUAAAUUCAGUAUAAAUGUUUUAAAAUGUGUGAUGGCUGGGAAGCUUUAAUCAAUAUGGUUUCCUGUGUGGUGACUUGCAUGAAAUGCCAAAGGGCUUAAGAUAUAAUGAAACUUGAAUUUAAGUAAAAAACACCUUAGUUCUUAGAGCAGUGGCAUAAAUGACGGCUGGUUUGUACUGGACAUGUGUGUGUAUAUUUUCCUUCUCUCAUGUUUUCUCUUAAUAGGCAGAUAUUUUGAUAUCUUGUAAAAUUGAUUGAUGUUCACUAGGAGGAUUUUUCUACUCAACUGCCUGUUUUAAUAAGUGUUUUAAGAAUUUGCCAUCUCUGAGUUCUCCUCCCAUCUUUUAAAUGUAGCUGAAACUAGCUCUGGACUGUUUUGAUAAACAAAAACACACGCAAAGAAAAAUUACACACACUCUAAUACAUCAGUGAAACCAUCCAAAGGACAAAGAGGAAUCAGCUGGGCUUCAGAACUCUGUUUUAUACACCUCAUGGCACCACAGAGUGCACUGAGCUGGAAAUGGAGCUGAACUGAAGAAGCAGUUCAUAGAAUCAUAGAAUCACAGAGUCACAGAAUCAGUCAGUCUUAAAAAGACUUUUAAGAUCAUGCAGUCCAAUCCCAACACACUACUCCCACUGACCAUGUCCCCACAUGCCACAUCUACACAGUUCUUGAGCACCUCCAGGUGCACCUUCACUCCCUGGCCAGCCUAUGCCAGUGCCCAAUUUCUCUUUGGAGAAGAAAUUGUUCCUAAAAUCCAACUUGAACCUUCCCUGGCGCAACUUGAGGCCAUUACCUCUCACCCUACCAUUAGUUACCUGGGACAAGAAUAAUCCCGUAUAUCUUUUAAUUAAGUUUGUCUCAUAGCAUUCAUGAAGACCAUGGUAGAAAAUGUGAGAACAAAACAAUUUGCUAGGAUAAAAGCAUUCAAGCUCAUGCAUAUUCCAAAAUCUUUUGUCCAUUUGAUGUUCUUCUCAUACUUUGUCUGUUGAGGAGAUGACAUGGCCUUAAGGACUACUGCUUCUUAUAGUGGUUUACUUAAGUGUCCCCUUUGUCCAUGUAUCUGCUGGUGUCCUUCACUCUUGCUCUGCUGAAUGUCUAACUCCUCAGCUAUACCUACCCUGUAAAAACAAAGAGGGACAGGAAUCUGCUAACAGUAGUGAACACUGUAAUUUGCCAUCAUGAUCCCUAAUUGUUUCUUAGCCAGAGAUGAGCACCACUUACCUAGGAAGGGCCUGGAUGUACUACGGGUGGGUAACAAAGACCAGGGAUGCAUUGCCAAUGGGGGGAGCGGAUACAGCUACCUCGAGAGCAGAAAGGCAAUUAAGGGUUUAGUUGGGUGGCUUAAGAAUUUGGCCAUAUCUUGCCUGUAGAAUGGUCUCUAAACUCUUCUAUUCACUAGUGUGCGUGUUGCCAAUAAAGACUUGAAGGGCAUUGUGAUCUAGAUGAAUUCAUGGCCUAAGCCCAUACUUGCAGCUUAAAGAGGGGUAUCUUGAGAAAUAUUUGUAAAAGUGUGAAUGAUUCAGAUAAGUUCCCAGUUUUUUUUAAACACACCGUUAUGUGAUAUGAAACCCCAAAGACCUGCAUUGCCCAGAGACUGGAUGAACAAAUGACUCCAAAUUCAUUAUCAUCCUGGUUCAUUAAUUUCCCCAGCUUGCUGGAGCCAUUUCUCCAAAAGCUACAGCAAUAACCUGCUGUGGAAAGACCAACGUUCAGUUCAUUACUCUGCCAUAUUCUUUCCACCAGACCCUUACCUUUCAUCAUUAGUUCUCUUGUUUCCAUGCUGGUGCAGAUGUUUCAGAUGCUUUUCCUAACUCUGAGGUUUACAAAGAUUGAAGCUCACCAUCUUCUUUUCCCAUCCAUUUUCUUGUCCCUGUUCAGAGCAGAUACAUACAGAACUUUCUUUUUUUUUUUGUCAUCAGCAUUGUAGCCUUGCUCAGAUUAGUCUCCCCCAUACCCACAACUGCAUUCUUGUGUUUGUUUUUGCUUCCCUGGCUCUUUGGACUGAUGUUUUUGCUCAGAAAAUCUGGAGUCUCCGGCCAACGUGUGCUCCUCUAGAGGGAAGCAAAAUUUUCUCAUCUUUAUUUGUAGCAUGUUUUUGGACACAGGAAAUACCCCACUCCCUUCUUCUCGAUCUGAUUCAUCAGCGGUUUCAAAAAGAAAUAACAGCAGAUGAUUUGAAAGGAAUGAUGGCAAUUUCUGCCUUGUGUGCCUGAGAAAUCUUGCAGUACCUUUCUCUUAUUUUUAAUGAAAAGUCUGGAGGUUUCUGUGUAGGGAGAGAUUGGCAGGUUGUUUUUGUUGUUAAGAUGAGAUAGCAGUGUGUGGGUGGGAGAAGGUUUUAUUUGAUUCAGUGUUGGAAGAUGGGGGGAAUGAAUCCAGACUUCAGUAUCCUCCCGCUCAGCUCAGUGGAAAACACUGGUUCCAAAUGAACUGCUCUGAAAAGUCUCUGAGAGCACAGAGAUACAUAACACUCUUGGUUAGUAACCAAGGACAAUGCCCAGAGCAUGUCUAAAAGCACUGUCAUUAAUGCCAGGGAGAGAAAAGGUCUACAGAAAGCUGUAGCUGCAAAAUUUCAAGAGCCUAUCAUUCCCAUCAUUCAGUUAUCUAAACCACACCUAAAUGGGGACAUUUCAACCAGGGAACAUGAAUGAGCUAUCACCUUCCCCUUAACCCUGCUCAAUGUGACCACACUGUUUAAGUACCAAACCCAGGAGCUGGCUGGAUCCAACUGUGCUUCUGCAUCCCUCUCUUGUUGCUAUCAGACAUAUGAAAGUUAACUGAAUUUUCAUCUCAGCAAAGACUAAGAGGUGAGACCUGAUACAGACAGCCCGAUUUUCAUACUUAAGGGACAGAAAAGGCAAUGGUGGUUAUUUGGUCGAAUUAGCUAAAACAAAGAAACAAAAAGGAAGAAACAUCAGCAAAAGCAAUAUACCUUUAGUCAGCCAGCAAAGAGGAAGUGGUCUGGACCCAAUGACCUCCUGUUAUAACUGUGAGCAUAGAAAGAAAAAAGUAAGAAGGUGCUUCCCAUUCAGUGUAUUAACCAAGGGCAGAUUUCUUCCUAUAAGGAGUAAUCCAAACAGCAUUGUUGUCAGGAUAACAUGAUACCAAAAGGGUGCUCUGUAUGGGAGCAAUCAAGACCUGAGAAACUGGUUGGGCUAGUGCAGUUCAAUGCCAAAAUACUUGAUAACCAUAGGGCUUCUAAAAAUUACAGAAAUGACUAGAAUGGAUAUCUCAGUAAACAGAAUGAAUUUCAGUAGAAAUAGAAUUUAAUCUGAGUCAGAGUUCACCUUUGUAGCUUUUACAGUCUUGCACAUGUAAGAGCUUCCUCUGUGGAUGGGUUCUGCUUCUAAGUCAGCUUGGCUUCAGAGCAGAGGUCUUAAGAACUUAGCUAACAGUAAUGACUGUGAAUGGCUUCAGAUGUUCUUGGAAAUUACUUUGAAGGAAGAUGAAGGACAUAAAGAAUUGUUUAAAGUAAAAUCUGGCAUAGGAACAGUUGGGAUUCGCUGUUAAGAAGUAUAUAUUCUUUGAAGUUCCCAUGCAUAGUUUGACUGAAAUUUGGGAACAUUAUCCUAAUGGGAGAAACAGAGGAAGGAGAAAAAGAGCUAACUACUUGUAUUACAGAAUUUUAUGUGUUUACUGAAGCAAGAAUAUCAUAUGGAUAGUUGUGAACUAGAUUUGCUAAUGGAAGAGGUCAUGCAGCUCACUUCAUUUCCAAGAAACAGAUGCCAACAAAACCAAAUGUCCUCUUUGCACAUGGGCUAAGAUAUUGCAAACGCUGUUCAAAUCUAAGCACAUGGAAGCACAUGAAAUGAAAAAUGUAUCUCCCCAUUUUUUCUUAAUAUUUGUGCUCCAGGGUUGAUAUGACUUAGGAGAUUAGGGACAGGAUAUGGAAGAUUUCAGAAGUCAGCCUUAUGAGAUCAGGCCCUAGUUCUCAGCAUAUGAAGAGGCUGUUUUAUGUUCAAUAAAAUUAUGUAGAUACCUCAGUCAGUUUUUGGGGUGAAUACAUAAUAAAGGUCCUCCAUGGUCCAAUUUAUUGCAUUCAACAGGAUCAGAAUCCUUUUUCUUCAGUCAGCUCAUGAAUUUGAAAUUAAGGAAUCAGAACUGGAAGCAAGUUAUAAUUCAUCUCACUGGAAAACCACACUUGUGAUCCCUGUGCUGAUCCUUUCUUUUAUAGGUUGCCAGCCAGUGUCAAGGAUGGUAGCUUUUAAGUUCAGUUUAAUACAGCUGUAGCUCUGAAAGUCUUUGUUCGGUGUGCCUGGGGGAUUUCAGCUUGCAUUACACUGGCAUUUGAGGUGAGAAAAUACUCUUAAGAUUUAUUCCUAUUUCCUGUAUUGCACAAACCCUCUGCUGCCAUCCUGGGAAUUUUUCUACUCCUUGCUAAUAACUUUUCUGCUUUUGCUGUUUAUUAGUAUGUGACAUGCUAUAUUAAUCCAAUCUUUAAGAAAAGCCAGAAGUAAAGCAAUUUUGUCUGCCCUUUACAGUGUGGAGAGAGACUUGUUUUUUUGUUUGUUUGUUUGUUUUGUCUUUUUUUUAGAAUACUAAAUAAAAAAGAUGAAGAACUUCGAAAUAUCCUCUCACGCCAAUCCCAUUCUGUUUUCACCCAGCUUCCUCUAAUGCUGCUCAAUGGCUGCCAUAGCUGAACAAACCUCAAUGGUGAAUCAGCCACCUGAUAUUAUUACCUGAUAUUUUUGUUAAAUGAAAGUAAAUGAAAAAAAUGCAGAAGCCCUGUGGCCAGGUCAACUAAAAGGAAUGGAAAAACACAGCAGUCUUUCUGGAAAGAUGAGAAAUUGUUAUGGUAUCUCGUAGCAUAUCUUCUUCACUAGAGCAGUUAAGAGCAAGCCUUUGGGGCAAGAACCAUACCUACCUUGCAAUGGCUUAUGAAAGAGAAAAUUAAAAGUAUACUUUCUACUACCACUUAGGGCCAUGCUCAGUUGAACACUUGUUAUUAUUGAUGCACAGUGCAAUCUGAAUAACAUGUUUUCCAGAUGCACUGAAUGAAAAUAACAAGCUAUUAUAUAUCAUGCUUUUCUUCUCUUGUUGACAUUUAGUGUAUUAAAAGCCAAUCUGAAUGAUUAUUAACAUGUGUCACUGCAUGCCAUCUGUCCCUUGGCACUGAUAACACAAGGAAGGCUUAUUAUCUGCAGUAUCUAUCUUCAUUUCCCCUCCCCUCUUCUUUUUGUUUUUAAUAUUUGUUUAAGGAAUUCUCCUUAUAAGAACAAUUUUCAAGCUUUAAUUCUCUAACAUCUCAUCUGGGUGGGAGCUAGGAAUAUGCCUUUUCUUGGCCUUCACAGAAUCCCAGUGGUUUCUGAAACCAAUUGUAUUAUCUUCUAAAUCAAAAGAACUAAUCAGUCCAUGACUACUGGAAGUCUUCCAAAUACCAGUUAAAGCCCAGCCUGAAAUAUGUUAUUUUUUUCCACUUUGAAACCUUCAAAACAGUGCAAGAAAUCUGCUUUCACUCUGUAUCCUCAACAAGGCCAUGUAUCACUGAUGAAUUUCUGCUUCUUAUUUUCUAGGACUCCUUUUUGGUCUCUUUUCUCAUAUUCUGUUUCUAUGCAUUGUCAUCACAGAAAUUGCUAUUGAGAAUAUUUUGCUAUAACAACUUUUUAUGGGCACAUCUUAGGAAGUGAAGCAAAAUCCAAGAAUCUGGUUUUCAAUCUCUGUUAUUUGUCACGGAGAUAAUAAAAAUGGGAAAAAAUGUGAUCUUUGAAAAUGGAAGGUUUGGUCCCCAGCCCCCUUUUUCUUUUAUGAUCAUGCACAAGAGAGUCAAGAGACGGUUCUGCUAUGAUAGAUGACUUAAAGCAGAGGGUGGGCUUGCUGCAUAGCGAGGAAGGACUUAGUAUAUAUUGUAUAGUCUAUGUUAUUUUCAUCAUGUGAUAUUGACGUGAAGAAAGCCGAUCUGUUAUUUAAUAUCUUUGAGUGUAGUCUUUGCUGUAGACCAUGGCCUGUACUCCAUGACCCAAAUACACAAUUUGUUGUGUAUGGCAGGAUUGCACUGGCAGAGAGCAUCUUUGAAGAGUAAUUUAGGCUUUGAUCAAGGGCCCAGGGCCAACUUGUUUACACCACAAGCAAGGUGAAGCACACAGGGGUUUGGAAAAGAACUGGGCCUUGUAGUAAGUAACUGCAUAAAAACCCAUUCAUUAUGUCUGUUUCUCAAAGAAUUGUUUACAGGACCACAAACACAUUACAAGAAGGGUAGCCUUAAAACUCUGGCUGCUUUCUUCAAAGCACAACAAUGCUUUUUUUUUUUUUUUUUUUUUUUUUUGUCUGUUUGUUAUUCUUUCACAGUACACCACCAUAGAUAGCUUAAUUGUUUUCUUCACCUGGAUCACUUCCAUUUAUUGUGCUGGGAAAAUCUAUGCUGGCAAUUUGUAACACCUAGAGGUCUCAACCUGCUAUUCCUACAUUCUGCAUUUUUCCCAUUUCAACAGAGUUAUUCCUGAUUUACAACUGGGUAAACAGGGUUAAAAUCAGACCCAUGGCUUUUAGCUUCACAUUUUCAGAUGCUAAAGGAAAACGCAGCUGGAAACUCUAAGUUCACCAAGUUUAUAUCUAGCCGAUUAUUUUAUUCUAAUUUUAACCUGUGGUAAGAAAAGGCAAAGUAGACUGGAUAUUUUAAGUUCCCUCUGUUUUUGUUCUUAUGAAUAACUGGCAUAUUACUUUGCCAAAUGGCACUGUAAAUCCACGAUGGAAAACGUUAUGCAGAACCUCUCAUUUCUUUUCAGAGCAGAUACAGCUCCGUACAGAAGAGAACAUUUGAAAACUGAUGCAACUCAAAACUCAGACACUUAGACUUAUUAUGUUUGACAAAUAAUAAAUGAUGCUAAAUGGGCAGGAAAUAGCAAUAUCAUAAUCCUAAAAUACAGACAGACAAUCCACAGAAAGGCAGGCUUUUUUUUCUUAAAACUCACAUAUGACAUAUUGUGCCUGGAACAACUGUUAGGAACUACAUUAAAUGUAAGAUAUUUUGUUGGAUAUAGACUGGAAUGAAUUUGGGGAAGCAGCAAAGACUAAGAAAGGACUAAGAUCUAGAGUAAAAACUGUUCUAUAAAGAACUUUAAACGGUGGUUGAAGGGCCUACGGGCAAUAUUAAAGUAAUGAGUGGAGUUAUGUGCAGCAGAGGAAAAGUGAUUCUGCACUAUUAAUGCGGUGGAAUCAGUAAUCAGAAAGACGAAACAGAAUGGAGGAAGAAGCUAAUUUAAAUGUAGUACAAUGAAGAGCUUUAUGGCAGUGAUAUCUGUCAGGUUCUCAAACAGUUUUCCAUGAGCAUUAAAAAUAACUUCAAGUGUAGAGGUCGUAGUUCAGGCUGGUCAGAGAAAAUACUAGUGUAAGCAAGCACACAAUCAAUGGAAGCAUUUAGAAUAAACUCACAACUGCCUGAAGUGAAUGCAUUUACUUUCUCAAAGUUUGGAUUCAGGUAUUCUUUCUGAGAAGUUUCUUGAAUCAAGAAAUAAACCGACCUUUUCAACACGACUCUCUUAGUUUUGUAUGCAACUGGAACAGUCCAUCAUGUUUGCCUGUUGAACAAAACCUAAGAUACACUGGCAACACUUGCCUUGGAAGAUCUCCAAACCUUCUGCUUCCAACAAUAAAUGAAUAAAUGGUCCUGUGAAAGAAUACGUGACAAACAUAUAACAUUUUUCUUGCACACCUGUUUUUAUUUUUUUCUAACUUUUAUUUGCAGUUAUGCCUUACCAGCAAAAUAGAAUAUGAUUCAAGCAGCAUAAUCUGAAGCAGGUUGUCUAUGAGCUAGGUUCCACCUCCUGUAUUAAGAUACCUCCGUUUGGAUGCUUACCUCUAGAUGUCUACACGGAGCUGUCCCAUCUCCCACUAGAUUGGCCUAACUGAUCAGAGAAUAAUUUAUUUGAUCAAAUGUAUGCAUUUUCUAUGGCAUAGGCUUAAAAACACCUUAGGUUCCAUUGGUUUUACUCAGCAAUUCUGUUGCCUGCAUAUAAGGCCUUGUGCCAUACAGACAACCUGCAGAUUUAUGGACAGGCAACUGGUGAUCACGUGAGAGAAGGAACAUCAAAUGUCCAUGAAAUAAAAAUAUGCCAUCUUGAUGCCAAUGCUAAGGUAGCUGAGUGUGUUAACUGAAUGUAAGGAGCUUUUAGGCAACUGGUUUAUAUGUAGGUCUGAGCACUGAGAUUUUUGGAUUUUCUCAGAUGAAUGUCAUCAGAAAUGUCCAUUAAUUAAAAUUAAAACUCAUUAAGUUCCUAGCAACUGCAAAUAUUUUGAUGUACACAAUGCAAUGAUUCUUUUGGUUUGCUUCCAACUGGAGAUAUUCUAUGAUUCAACAUACUGAUUUUCUUCUUUUCAAAGAGUUUUUGAGAUGCUCAUUUUAUGAACAGAUCUUGUCAUGAUCACCGGAGGAGUCUUUCAAAGAGAGAUUUUAAGGCUACCAGUAUCAGAACAAUCAAUUAAUACAGAGAGAGAAUAAAUUAAGGCAUAUUUCAUUGAGAAUUCCUCACUACUAGGUCUUUCCUAAAGCACCAGCUCAGGUAAUAUCUGUGAGGGCUUCUGGCAGUUACCAAUACUUUGAAAUGUGUGCCCAUAUACAAACUACUGUGAGGUACGUUGUUGGUGUUACUGUCACAGAGGUUUGAACUGUCUAUUGUGGAGAAGAGUCUAACUGUGAAAAUGACUUAUUGGCUUCUCUUACAGAGCUACACUGGAUGCCUGUCUCACAGCUCAGCACAAGCUUUUUUUUUUUUUUUUUUUUUUUUUUUUUGGAUCAUUUUGUGCUUUAUGGGCUUCACAGUGAAGGUUGGUUUCAAAGAGAGAGGUGUGGGAGUCACUGUCCUUAGUGAGGUUCAAAAGCUGUGUGGGCAUGGUGCUGGGCAGAGGUGGGAGUUGAACCAGAUGACCUCAAGACUUGCUAUCCAACCUCAGUCAUUCAAUGGUUCUAUGGAGAGGCAAAUGAAGAACAGCAAAAAUGUCUGAAAGGAGUCAGAUGAGGAAUGUGGGGAGAAAGAUGACUUCCAGUAGUCCUCAGUUAAAGAAAGUUGAAGAAAAAUUCAGGUGUGCGCCAGCAAGGUAAGGUUGCAUGGGUCAAGACUGAAAGGAGAAGAUACAAGAUGAUGAAAGCCCAAAUGAGACCUUCCCUUUUGUGGUUGGACAGAAGUCAUCAUUUCCACUAAUAUAUUUACUGAGGUAAGGCUAAAUGGCUAAUGAGAUGGAAAUUUAUGCACUCCCUAUGAAAAUUUGCAGCUUAUCUUUAGCUCCUCAAAGGGAUGUGAAGAGAGGAAGCCAAACUGAGCAGGCUGAGAUUUCAGUGGACAGCUCUGUAUGCCACCUGCACAGAAGUGGCAGCUGGAAAAUGAGAAUAUCCAGAGUUGUAGAAAGGGAGACAUUAGAUUUUAUGACACUGCGAGCAUCUAUUUUGGAAAAGUCAAUGCAAAUGAAUCUUCAGAGAAUCUGAAAGGAGUGCUAAACUGGUUGGCAUAUACUCAGAAAAUGGAGGACCCUAUAUCAAGAUCAUACAGCCAGCGGAAGAGACGAUUUAGAAAGUGAUUUUUCAUCUUAACCAAUGAUGUAGCAUCAUCAAUUUUCCCAGACAGCCUUCAGGUCCCCAGGGCUUCAGGAUGGCACCUAAGAGAUAAUGUGACAUAGGACUUGGUCCAACGCUGUCUAAUUUUUAGGAACAACUCCAUGGGAAUACACUGUCUUUGUGAGGUCAGUUUGCUGUUGCCAUAACAAAGGUAGAUUAACAAAUAAUCAGUGGGAUAGAAUAGGGAGUGCUGAAAUACUAGAAGUUAUGUGGCAUAAAAUAUUGCAGGUUUUACAUGUAGAAGGAGAGAAAUUUGUCUGACAAACGGCAAGUGUAGCAUCAGUAGUUGUCCCAGCAUAAACUGUUCCAAAAGAAAAGACCUGUGUGACUUUUAUUUGUGCAGUAGAUGCUGGGAGGAGACCUGGAUUCCAUAAACUACAGCAGUUGAAACAUUUGUAAAAUAAUUUAUCUAUCACUGGAGACCACCUUUCAGGGAAACCAUCCAAAUGUUGGAGAUAGUUCAAAGGAGAGAUGCAAAUACAAGACACAGCAGGAAAAUAAAUCUCUCAGUAUGAAGCCUAAGAAGCUUAACUUUUUCAGAUUGAUGUAUGGAAGGCUAAGGCAUAAUGCCAUUUAAUGAAAAAGGCUUCUGGUUCACCACCUGUAGCAGUCCCAAUGGCUCCACCUGGAAAUAUCUUGCCCACCUCCAGGAGAAUGGAGAAAUCUUGUAGCAGGCUUCAUAUGUGGCUCCCUGGUAGAUGAAAGGGAUUGGACUAGAUGAUAUCAGAGUUCUUUUCCAACCUUGGUAAUUCUGUGAUUCAACAACCUUAAGUAUUUACAUUCAACUACAUUUUGAGAUAGGCUGGGGUACUGGAACUUUCUAUCCAAAACUUACAUCUUUUUGCAUGUUCAGGCUGUCCAGAUGGCAGUCCCUUAUUCCUUGAGAUCUACUUUGCAUUCCUUCUUUAUGUGUCCACAAAGCAUCCCUAACAAGUCUUUCUAAUUACUCUUUAGGAGUGAAAGAGAUAAAAUGUGAACAAAAUAAUGCAAACUGUCAAUACAUUGGAAGACUUAGCAUCUGCAAUAUUAUGCACUCAACUGACAUAAAAUUGUGCAAUUUGCAUCAUUACUGUGUGCUCCCAGGCCUGUUCCAGUCUUCUUAUGCAGUGCAGGGGGAGAGGAAGGAAGACAGAAUGUGAUAUUGUCUGUAAAUAUUAUUUUAAUUACUUUGACUCAUAGUCUCUGUUGGUCCCAGUCCCUGUCAUGGUGUGUCAGUCAGGGAGAAGGAAAUGGCUGUUUUACACCACUGCAAUUUAUUGUCAAGUACAUCCAGAAUUAUGAAGAUGAUUUAAUGAUCUUUACAAAGAUAGAGAGCAUUGGAGAUCCAGUCUAUGGUUGGUCUUUAUAGCUAGAUGGCACUAAGAGGGCUGCACUCUGCAAAGCCAGCUCAGUGUUCUUAUAGGGCCUGAAAUCAAGCUUUGAACAUAGUUUGAAGCAACACAGGAACUUUUCCAUGUGGGUGGAAAAGGUCUUAGUGGAUACUUCAUUUUAAGAGCAGCUAUUUAGCAAGAACUGCUGAGCGUCAGCUAACAUUCACAUCUCAAAUAAUUUGUGCAACAAUGCCCCUGGCCAAAACUCCACCUGUAUGUGCAAGCAACAGUGUCCAGGUGUUUCUUUUUUGUUUAUUUACAUUUCAUGGUUCCUUCUAUCAGAAGGCCAAAACUUUUAAUGCCUCCUAGAAUCAGCUUUACUUCUCCGAAGGGACGUGGGAUAUGAUUUAAACAUUUUCUUCUUUUUCUUUUUUUUUUUUUUUCAAUUGUGCAUCUCAAACUACUUUUGUGGCAACUGAGCUUGUCUUCUUUUUUGGGCAAACUUUCAAAAUCAUAGAACCACAGAGUCAUAGAAUGAUUGGGUUGGAAGGAAUGUAAAGAUCUUCUAGUCCCAAACCCCUGCUGUGGGCAGACUGCACAAGGAUUUUUUUCUGCUAGGAAGAAAAAUGGUGGUCCAUAUAAAUAUUCAGGCUUGUUUAGCUUGGAGAAGAGAAGGAUGCGGGGAGACCUCAUUGUGGCCUUCCGAUAUUUGAAGGGAGCGUAUAAACAGGAGGCGGAACAGCUGUUUGUGAGGGUGGACAGUGAUAGGACAAGGGGGAAUGGUUUUAAACUGAGACAGGGGAGGUUUAGGUUGGAUAUGAGGAGGAAGUUUUUCACCCAGAGGGUGGUGAUGCACUGGAACAGGUUGCCCAAGGAGGUUGUGGAUGCCCCAUCCCUGCAGGCAUUCAAGGCCAGGCUGGAUGUGGCUCUGGGCAGCCUGGUCUGGUGGCAGGCAACCCUGCACAUAGCAGGGGGUUGGAACUGGAUGAGCACUGUGGUCCUUUUCAACCCAGGCCAUUCUAUGAUUCUGUGAUUCAGGUUAUAUGUGUUUUGCAGUUACCACUGCAUGAAAAAAUUCAUCUCUUUCUCCCCAUCUAUGUUAACUGUUUUAAUUGUCUAAAUUUUUUUGUGGGAUCCCAAGUUGUAAUGAUGGUAAGACAUUUGCCAUGAUCGUUAUCAUGUAGUGAGAGAGUUGAAGGUUACUCACAAUAUUUAUUUCACUUUUAAUUAAUUGGCUCCAAUGUUGUUAGCUUUGCUGGUGUCAUCGUGUUCUCAUUUAGAGAUAAUACAAGACAUAUCAAAGGAUUACACUCCUGACAUAUGAAGUUGGCUUCAGAUGAACAAGAUUUUCAAACCUGGAAAGAAAGAGCGAAUCUGUCUGUUAAAAAUGAGGAAGAAAAAAAAAAAGAAAAGACAAAAGGCGACAGAGAAAGGGGGAUGUGCUCAAAAAGGGAAAUGGCUGUGUGCAGAUUUCACCGACUGCUCUUCUUCCUGCCUAUCCAGAAA